UGUGUUAAAAGAAUUUUUGAAAGAAGAAGAAAAAGGUUUUCAGCACAAGGCAGACAGAAUGGUCGCACGUGUGCUUAAACCUUUUAAAAUAAGUUUUUGUAGAUUUUUUUUGAAAGAAAAGAAGAAAAAGGUUUUCAGUACAAGGCUGACAGAAUGGUCGCACAUGUACUAAAACCUUUUAAAAUAAAUUUUUGAUAGUUUUUGAAAGAAGAAGAGAAAGGUUUU
rnacentral:lncRNA from 1 species